UACAGUUUGCCUGUCAAUGAUUUAUAACUGGGUAGCCCACUUAUUUUCUUGAUGACUGUUUAGUAAGUGGUGAUAACCUAUUCCUAACUAGUGACGUUAAACUUGAACUUGGAACCAGAGUACACCAUUGAUAGCAGGACUUGCAGUUGCUACUGCUGCUUAUGCUGGCAGAUAUGGCAUCCUGGCUUGGCAAGCAUUCAAAGCGA
rnacentral:lncRNA from 1 species